ACAUAUGACUCGUUCCGUGAGCAUUAACGAGUGUACACGAAACCAAACAAGGGUAGAAAAGAGAAACUCGAGAGACACAUGCAUCAACGGAGAUAGAAAUGACCAAAGAAUUCGUUGAUCCAAAAGUUUGACCGUUCCAGGUAGCCAUAUCUCAGGAGCUGCUGGUGCUGAGUCAUGUUGAGUCAGGAGGCCACUCUUAUCUCCAGUCUCCAGGAGGACUUUUUCAGGCUGUUGGGUGUGGGGUGAAACGGGAACCCUGGAUUAUGGUGGCUUGUUUUUUUGUUUUUUUUUCAGGACAACCUGUUGUUUAAGUUAGUGACCCUCUGGAGAGCCAGAAAGUUUUCUUCUUCUGAUAUUAUAAUAAAUGGAGUAAAAACUGUCUGUGACAUUACAAAGGGACAGUCUAAUCUCCAGAGAUGACGUUGAGGGAAUGCUUUUGGUGUAGGGUGACUCAGCAAACUGUGUUCUUGCUCCAGUCACACCAGAGCCGGAGAAGAGGCUUGCAGAGCCAUGGAGGUGCACGAUGACUCACAAAAACGGCCAUGGCUGUGAGCUUGUGUAGCCUUUUGGGGGGUUAUGAUAAUGAAUGUAUUUUCUUCAGUCAAUAAACUUUUGGACUGUUUUGUGUUAAACAUUAA